GGGCCCGCACAAGCGGUGGAGCAUGUGGUUUAAUUCGACGCAACGCGAAGAACCUUACCCAGGCUUGAACUGCAGGUGACACUCUACGAAAGUAGACUUCCGCAAGGACGCCUGUAGAGGUGCUGCAUGGCUGUCGUCAGCUCGUGUCGUGAGAUGUUGGGUUAAGUCCCGCAACGAGCGCAACCCUUGUCUUCUGUUGCCAUCGGGUCAUGCCGGGCACUCUGAAGAGACUGCCGGUGACAAACCGGAGGAAGGUGGGGAUGACGUCAAGUCAGCAUGGCCUUUAUGUCUGGGGCCACACACGUGCUACAAUGGCCGGUACAAACCGUCGCGAGCCCGCGAGGGGGAGCUAAUCGGAGAAAGCCGGUCUCAGUUCGGAUUGUAGGCUGCAACUCGCCUGCAUGAAGUUGGAAUCGCUAGUAAUCGCGGAUCAGCACGCCGCGGUGAAUACGUUCCCGGGCCUU
rnacentral:rRNA from 1 species